GAUCAGGCCUAACACAUGCAAGUCGAACGAUAUAGUGGCAGACGGGUGAGUAACGCGUGGAAACGUGCCUUUCACUACGGAAUAGCUUUUGGAAACGAAAGGUAAUACCGUAUACGCCCUCCGGGGGAAAGAUUUAUCGGUGAAAGAUCGGUCCGCGUUAGAUUAGCUAGUUGGUGAGGUAACGGCUCACCAAGGCUACGAUCUAUAGCUGGUCUGAGAGGAUGAUCAGCCACACUGGGACUGAGACACGGCCCAGACUCCUACGGGAGGCAGCAGUGGGGAAUAUUGCACAAUGGGCGCAAGCCUGAUGCAGCCAUGCCGCGUGAAUGAUGAAGGCCUUAGGGUUGUAAAAUUCUUUCGCCAGGGAUGAUAAUGACAGUACCUGGUAAAGAAGCCCCGGCUAACUUCGUGCCAGCAGCCGCGGUAAUACGAAGGGGGCUAGCGUUGUUCGGAAUUACUGGGCGUAAAGCGCACGUAGGCGGACUUUUAAGUCAGAUGUGAAAUCCCGAGGCUCAACCUCGGAACUGCAUUUGAAACUGGGAGUCUAGAGAUCAGGAGAGGUUAGCGGAAUACCGAGUGUAGAGGUGAAAUUCGUAGAUAUUCGGUGGAACACCAGUGGCGAAGGCGGCUAACUGGACUGAUACUGACGCUGAGGUGCGAAAGUGUGGGGAGCAAACAGGAUUAGAUACCCUGGUAGUCCACACCGUAAACGAUGAGUGCUAGUUGUCUGCAGGCAUGCCUGUAGGUGACUCAGCUAACGCAUUAAGCACUCCGCCUGGGGAGUACGGCCGCAAGGUUAAAACUCAAAGAAAUUGACGGGGGCCCGCACAAGCGGUGGAGCAUGUGGUUUAAUUCGAAGCAACGCGCAGAACCUUACCUACGCUUGACAUGCCCGGACGAUUUCCAGAGAUGGAUCUCUCCCUUCGGGGCCGGUGCACAGGUGCUGCAUGGCUGUCGUCAGCUCGUGUCGUGAGAUGUUGGGUUAAGUCCCGCAACGAGCGCAACCCUCAUCCUUAGUUGCCAUCACGUUUGGGUGGGCACUCUAGGGAAACUGCCGGUGCUAAGCCGGAGGAAGGCGGGGAUGACGUCAAGUCCUCAUGGCCCUUACGCGUAGGGCUACACACGUGCUACAAUGGCAGUGACAAUGGGAUAAUCCCCAAAAGCUGUCUCAGUUCGGAUUGUCGGCUGCAAUUCGCCGGCAUGAAGUUGGAAUCGCUAGUAAUCGUGGAUCAGCAUGCCACGGUGAAUACGUUCCCGGGCAUGUACA
rnacentral:rRNA from 1 species